rnacentral:rRNA from 1 species
AUUGAACGCUGGCGGCAGGCCUAACACAUGCAAGUCGAACGCGUGGCGGACGGGUGAGUAAUGUCUGGGACACUGCCCGAUGGAGGGGGAUCACUACUGGAAACGGUCGCUAAUACCGCAUACCCUCAGAUGUGCACAGAUGGGAUUAGCUAGUGGGUGGGGUAAUGGCUCACCUAGGCGACGAUCCCUAGCUGGUCUGAGAGGAUGAUCAGCCACACUGGAACUGAGACACGGUCCAGACUCCUACGGGAGGCAGCAGUGGGGAAUAUUGCACAAUGGGCGCAAGCCUGAUGCAGCCAUGCCGCGUGUAUGAAGAAGGCCUUCGGGUUGUAAAGUACUUUCAGCGAGGAGGCGUUACUCGCAGAAGAAGCACCGGCUAACUCCGUGCCAGCAGCCGCGGUAAUUC